UAAUACGGAGGGUGCAAGCGUUAUCCGGAUUUAUUAGGUUUAAAGGGUUCGCAGGCGGAAUUUUAAGUCAGUGGUGAAAGCCUAUAGCUCAACUAUAGAACUGCCAUUGAUACUGAUAUUCUUGAGUAUAGAUGAAGUGGGCGGAAUAUGUCAUGUAGCGGUGAAAUGCAUAGAUAUGACAUGGAACACCAAUUGCGAAGGCAGCUCACUAAACUAUUACUGACGCUCAUGAACGAAAGCAUGGGGAGCGAACAGGAUUAGAUACCCUGGUAGUCCAUGCCGUAAACUAUGAUCACUAGAUGUUGGCGAUAUAUUGUCAGUGUUUUAGAGAAAUCGAUAAGUGAUCCACCUGGGGAGUACGUUCGCAAGAAUG
rnacentral:rRNA from 1 species